UACGGGGGGUGCGAGCGUUGUCCGGAAUCACUGGGCGUAAAGAGCGCGCAGGCGGUCGUGCAAGUCGCGUGUGAAAGCCCCCGGCUCAACUGGGGAGGGUCACGCGAUACUGUUCGACUCGAAGGCAGGAGAGGGAAGUGGAAUUCCCGGUGUAGUGGUGAAAUGCGUAGAUAUCGGGAGGAACACCAGUGGCGAAGGCGACUUCCUGGCCUGUUCUUGACGCUGAGGCGCGAAAGCUAGGGUAGCAAACGGG
rnacentral:rRNA from 1 species